CGGGCGUAAUAAAUUGUUGCUAAUGAGCCCAAACUUCAUUUGUUGGUUGACCCUUGCGCUAUCAACAAGCCGACUUUUUGAAGAUUUUAAACUCGUACUAUUCUUGAGAUAAAAGGUAAAAACGAGAAAGUUAUUGACUUCCAAAUGGAUUUGGUUACACUGAAUUUCCACAUUGCACGUGAGCGAUUCCAAGACGUCCAGUCUGCUUACAUCGCCAAAGCCAACGUCUCAAUGCAAAGAGUGCGUACCCAGAUCCACGGACACCCUGUGCUAUCCUCACUUCUUGGCACCAGCCUGGUGAUGUCACUAAUCCCGGUGACUCUGAUUGAUGGGUUCGUGCUUCUUUGUGCCUCGCCCUUCAUCAUUGGUGGGAUGAUAAUGGCAGCACCCUUUGCUGAGCUCGCUGUGUGCUCUGGCAGCCUUUCUUUGCUUUGGAGCACUAAUGGUCAUGCUACGCGCCCGCGAUAACAUCAUUCGAAUCCAGCACCUCACAUACCGCGCACGCGCCGUGCCGAUCCUCGGGUUCGUGUCUUACAUCUGCGACGCCGCGAUAUUCAUCCCGUCCCUAGUUAUAACCAAUAUCAUCAGCACGAUCUUUUCACUUGUUGAGCACGUGAUCCUAGUGUUUGUCAGCUGCGUAGAGGCAAGUCAUUCACGUGCUCGGAGUGUGGUCAACUCAUACGUAAGUCUACCACGGGGAGUCAUCUACGUUCUCGCGCGUGACUAUUGUUGGGUAAGGCCGCUGGAUACUAUUCGGACGUGGUUACGUCACAACGUAGAGCUACCCGAAAUCCUUUGCGAUGUAGCUGAGACUGCAUUCACAAAUGAAGUUACCAAGGUAACGCGUCGAUCCUCUCACCGUGUUCACCGGAGACGCAGCAAAUCGCAUGCGCGUUUGCAGUUUAUCUGGUGACUUUUAGUGACUUCUCAGAACCAGUUCUCUGAAUAUUCAAUACUCGGCUUGAUCAUGUAAACCUCAUUUUCUUCUUAUUGAUAAUCUCAUUAAUAAUCUGGAAUUAAAGUAUGCUAUGUAAUUUAAUCAAUAAAUGUUACAAAAUAGUCUUAUUUUCGCACAUCCAAUGGCGUCAAAAAAGUGGCUUUUAAUAUAAUAAUAAUAUGUAUCUUAUUUUAACGACACUAGUAAAUCGUGCGCUCUGAUUGGU